GCCAGACUCCUACGGGAGGCAGCAGUGGGGGAUAUUGCACAAUGGGGGGAACCCUGAUGCAGCGACGCCGCGUGGGUGAAGGAGCGUUUCGGCGCGUAAAGCCCUAUCGGCAGGGAAGAAGGAGGACGGUACCUGACUAAGAAGCCCCGGCUAACUACGUGCCAGCAGCCGCGGUAAUACGUAGGGGGCAAGCGUUAUCCGGAUUUACUGGGUGUAAAGGGGGCGCAGACGGCAGCGCAAGCCAGGAGUGAAAGCCCGGGGCCCGACCCCGGGACUGCUCUUGGAACUGCGCGGCUGGAGUGCAGGAGGGGCAGGCGGAAUUCCUGGUGUAGCGGUGAAAUGCGUAGAUAUCAGGAGGAACACCGGUGGCGAAGGCGGCCUGCUGGACUGCGACUGACGUUGAGGCCCGAAAGCGUGGGGAGCAAACAGGAUUAGAUACCCCAGUAC
rnacentral:rRNA from 1 species